GCAGUGUCAAAUCCAUGUUAAGGAUUGGACAAAAUGGAUACAGAAGAGAACUUAUUCCUAAAUCGGCAGGAAUAGAAAUGGAUCUUCGAAAUUUUUCAGGACAAAGGUGAAUACCGGGAGACAAUACUGAGAAUACUGCGCCAGAUAAGAUCAUAUUGGACAACAAGGAUCACGCAGUGGAUGUGAUCUUCGUGAACUGUGGUUAUCUCUCUGAGAACAACUAUUGCUUUUCGCAGUCAACACUCAGUCAAUUCAGGAAGUACUAAAGCGCAGAUAGUGGUGUGUGGAGUUGUUUUCAUCAGGAUAAUCUUUCGUGAGAAUCUGUACAGGACACGAGAAAUCUUUUUACAUGUGCGGAAAUUCAGGAUGUCCAGCAUUCAGGAAAGUCAGAGAACUUAGCUAGUCAGAAAAAAUUUAGAGAAUAUCAGUAAAUU